rnacentral:rRNA from 1 species
GCAACGAGCGCAACCCUUAUCAUUAGUUGCCAACAUUUAAGGUGGGAACUCUAAUGAGACUGCCUGGGUUAACCAGGAGGAAGGUGAGGAUGACGUCAAGUCCGCAUGGCCCUUAUGUCUGGGGCUACACACGUGCUACAAUGGUCGGUACAGAAGGCAGCGAAGCCGCGAGGUGGAGCAAAUCCCAAAAGCCGAUCUCAGUUCAGAUUGUAGUCUGCAACUCGGCUACAUGAAGACGGAAUUGCUAGUAAUGGCGGGUCAGCACACCGCCGUGAAUACGUUCCCGGGUCUUGUACACACCGCCCGUCACAUCAUGGGAGUUGGUUUUGCCCGAAGUCGCUGACCUAACCGCAAGGGAGGAGGCGCCUAAGGUAAGGCCGAUGACUGGGAUGAAGUCGUAACAAGGUAGCCCUACCGGAAGGUGGGGCUGGAUCACCUCCUUUUAAGGA